GUUUGUGUUAGGCUGGCACUGGGUUGGGUGACAAUCCUCAGGAAUUGUGGAGCCUGACUCCCUUGGAAGUUCUCUGCCAGCUCGCUGACCCCAGUCCUCGUAAACACAGUUCUUUGCCAAGCCCUUUCCUUGCUCCACCGCUCACUGUGAUACGAGCCCCACUCCAAACCCCAGACUCCCGAACUGAUCUCAUGUAAACUUCAGGACCAUCCUUUUGGGGUCCUGCUCUUGCGGUUGGGAAAUUAGUUUGAGGAGGCCAUGUGAGUGAAUUUCUACAGCAUAAAAGAAAUCACUGAUCAUCCAGGUUGAAGAGCUUGCAGAAUCUCUGUGCCACGCUUGCCAAGGUUCUUGCAUCCCUCAUCUGUCAUAGAGAAAGUGGUGGAGAUAAAAUUGUGCCAGCAGCACCUUGUCAAACCCCUGCUACAGGCAUCCAUUGUGAGUCAUGGGAUAAAGGAUAAGAGAGCAGCCAGAGGCUUCAGCAUCAUAUGUCUGAGUUCUGCAGAAAGGACCAGGCCCAGAAGACUCCUGGCUUCCACACAUACCCAUGAAUCACCUGAUUAAGGCCCACUCUCAGGAUUAUUCCCCUAUCAAUGCACUGAAUCUACUUUCAACCAAGGUACCAAAAACUUCAUUGCUCAAUCUAAUAAACUCCUUUCAAUGA
rnacentral:lncRNA from 10 species